rnacentral:rRNA from 1 species
AUUGAACGCUGGCGGCAGGCCUAACACAUGCAAGUCGAGCGGAUGAAGCGAGCUUGCUCCUGGAUUCAGCGGCGGACGGGUGAGUAAUGCCUAGGAAUCUGCCUGGUAGUGGGGGAUAACGUCCGGAUACGGGCGCUAAUACCGCAUACGUCCUGAGGGAGAAAGUGGGGGAUCUUCGGACCUCACGCUAUCAGAUGAGCCUAGGUCGGAUUAGCUAGUUGGUGGGGUAAAGGCCUACCAAGGCGACGAUCCGUAACUGGUCUGAGAGGAUGAUCAGUCACACUGGAAGUGAGACACGGUCCAGACUCCUACGGGAGGCAGCAGUGGGGAAUAUUGGACAAUGGGCGAGAGCGUGAUCCAGCCAUGCCGCGUGUGUGAAGAAGGUCUUCGGAUUGUAAAGCACUUUAAGUUGGGAGAAAGGGCAGUAAGUUAAUACCUUGCUGUUUUGACGUUACCAACAGAAUAAGCACCGGCUAACUUCGUG